rnacentral:tRNA from 1 species
GGGGAGAUAGCUCAGUUGGGAGAGUGCUUGCCUUGCAUGCACAAGGCCCUGGGUUCAAUCUCCAGUCCUACCA